rnacentral:rRNA from 1 species
AGCUUACAUCUAGCUCAACCACAGUAUGACUAAAAAGAUCAAAAAUUUACUUUAUUACUAAACUAAAACAUUCUCUCAACUUAGUAUAGGCGAUAGAAAAGACCUCCUGACGCGAUAGAAAAUUGUACCGUAAGGGAAUAAUGAAAUAAUAAUGAAAAAUCAAGCUACAAACAGCAAAGAUAAGCCCUUGUACCUUUUGCAUCAUGGUUUAGCAAGAAUAAUCAAGCAAAACGAAUUUAAGCUUGUCGCCCCGAAACCCAAGCGAGCUACUUUCGAGCAGCUGCCUUAGAGCGAACCCGUCUCUGUUGCAAAAGAGUGGGAUGACUUGCUAGUAGAGGUAAAAAGCCAACCGAGCUGGGUGAUAGCUGGUUGCCUGUGAAAUGAAUCUUAGUUCUCCCUUAAUUCCUUCCCCCAAGGGCCAUUAGCAACUCAACCCGUCUGUGACGAAUUAAGAGUAAUUUGAAGGGGGUACAGCCCCUUCAAAAAAGAGUACAAUCUCCCCUAGAGGAUAACCCCUCCUACCCUAACUAAACCUGUGGGCCUUCAAGCAGCCACCAACAAAGAGUGCGUCAAAGCUCUCCUCCCGCAAAAAUCCAAAAACACUAUGACUCCCUUACCACUAACAGGCCAUCCUAUAAAUAAUAGGAGUACAAAUGCUAAAAUGAGUAACUAGGGACCCUCCCCUCCCAAGCGCAAGCUUACAUUUUCACAUUAUUAACAGACUAGCUAAUAUCGCAACCUCGACAAGAUUAAAUAUUAACAACCUCUGUUACCCCAACUCAGGAGCGCCCAAUUAGAAAGAUUAAAACCUGUAAAAGGAACUAGGCAAACCUAAGGCCCGACUGUUUACCAAAAACAUAGCCUUCAGCCCUCCAAGUAUUGAAGGUGAUGCCUGCCCAGUGACACUAUGUUUAACGGCCGCGGUAUCCUAACCGUGCAAAGGUAGCGCAAUCAAUUGUCCCAUAAAUCGAGACUUGUAUGAACGGCUAAACGAGGUCUUAACUGUCUCUUUCAGGUAAUCCGUGAAAUUGAUCUUCUUGUGAAAAAGCAAGAAUAGGCACAUAAGACGAGAAGACCCUGUGGAACUUAAAAAUCAGUAGCCACCCCACACAAACCCAAACCUACAAGGCCCACUGCUUACAAAACUGCUGGCUUACAUUUUUUCGGUUGGGGCGACCUUGGAGAAAAGCAAAUCCUCCAAAAAUAAGACCACCCCUCUUAACCAAGAGCGACAUCUCUAAGUGCUAAUAGUACCCAGACCCAAUACUAUUGAUUAAUGGACCAAGCUACCCCAGGGAUAACAGCGCAAUCUCCUUCAAGAGCCCCUAUCGACAAGGAGGUUUACGACCUCGAUGUUGGAUCAGGACAUCCUAAUGGUGCAGCCGCUAUUAAGGGUUCGUUUGUUCAACGAUUAACAGUCCUACGUGAUCUGAGUUCAGACCGGAGCAAUCCAGGUCGGUUUCUAUCUAUGAUGAACUUUCCCUAGUACGAAAGGACCGGAAAAGUAGGGCCAAUACUACAAGCACGCCCUCCCUAGAGUAAUGAAUCCAACUAAAUUACUAAAAGGCCACUCACUCACCAUCCUAGAAAAGGAUCG